rnacentral:tRNA from 1 species
UUUAGAUAGUUUAUAAAAAAUAGAAGAUUGUGGGGCUUCAGAUGGGUUUCCUCUAGAU